AUAAAUAUACAAAAUAGCUGCAUGUUCCUCAUGGAAAUUAAUUGUUGUUUUUGAGUGUUGAGAAAUGAAAUUCCAAGUCAGAUAUAUAGCUGUAAGUGCUAUUUUCAAUGCGGCAACGGAGCACUGACCGUGCAUUGUGAUAAAAGGGACAAUUCAAAGCUGGGCUGCAUCCUGCUGAUUGGUGUUCAAUGUACCAGUGUCCUGACCUCCUGUCCACAUUGGGAAACCCUUGGAGCUUGCUCUUCAGUAAAAUCCUCUGAAUUUAACUCCUUCCUGUGCCACCAGAUAUCAUUCUGACCAUGAGAAAUGUUCUGCCAUCUUUAACUGUCAUCUUAUGAGAUGGAACAGCCAAUUCAGUGUCUUUGUAUAAAUGGGCAAGAAGUUAUCUGCUUUCUUCCCCCUCAGGAUAGCCUCACAGAGAACGCAACAAGACAUGGAACCAUCUCCCAGUCUCCACUGCCAGCUUCUGUUUUAUGUGAUGUCCUUGGAUGCCCAAAAGAUUAGGCAUCCUGAUCCACCUGGCCCAUAUAACAGAGAUCAAAGACAUUUCUUCAUCUACAAACUUAAGCUCCUGUUCUAUGGAAAUGAAGAGGACAAAUUGGAGGUCAUAGUCUGUGCAAAUUAGUAGGGACAUCUGACUCUUGAAGGGGCAAAGUUGUGGACCAGUUCUCUCAAAUGGCAAUAUAUUAAGACCAACAAAAAAAGGUUUUCCCUCUGCUCUGGUAUUUUUCACACUUCAGCUUGGAUCAGCAGCCUGGACAUUUGGAUUGUUCUUGACCGCUCCAGUUUGCUGCAUCAAAUGCACUGUGGUGCUGUUCAGCAUCCAGGAGAACUUAUUACUUCUGCUAUAAAGAAUGUGGACAUAAAGACCAGCCUUCAUAUUUUUGUCCUUGAACUAUUUUCUGCCUCAGAAAAAAGCUAUGUACUAUUGAAUAAGGUCCUAGAACAUAAUUUAGAAGCACGAGCAGGAGAAAAAAAUCUCCCUGAAUUGGGGGGAAAGACAUGCUUCUUGAACAUUAUUAAUUUGAAUCAUGGAGAUAUAUAGGAGCAGAUAUUUAUAGGAUGCAGUUGAUGUGUGACUUAGUACCAAAUAGAAAUUCUUCAGAAAGUCAGCUCCAUCUUUGCCAAGUCAUCACGACUCUCUUAGUAGGCCAUAUUUUAUAGGGAAUUACUCGGCACGUGUAUGAGCUUUCCCAGUCCUAAACUCUUUUAAGCUGCAUAUUUCUUCUGCAGUGAAAGGUGGAGACAGUGUAGUCCAUGAGCUGCCUAGAAGGCAUUAAAACAACAUUCCUCAUUUUUGGAGGACUGUAUGGUGGCAUGCAGAAAUCUAAUGUUCCAUGGAAUUCAUGUUUUUCCAUUUUCUUGAGCAAAUAAUUCUGUGUAUGCAGAUAUAUGAACUUGCAGUCUUGAAUUCACAGUACUGCAAGUCACAAUCUAUUUUAUCUACUAGCCUUUCUGUCUUAAAUGAAGAAAAGCUAUAUAUUAUUAACAUCUUGAA